AUGGGGCUCAUUCCUGACAACGGCCUUUCCAGGCCCAGUUUUUCCCUUCCGGCGGCCUCUCCGGGCCCAGAACCUCCUCAAGUCGGCCUCUCCAGACCCACUUGCACCCUCCGGGCGUUCUCUCCGGGCCCAGCUCUUCUUCCUGGUUGGGUCUCCAGGCCCGAUUCCUGCCUCUCAACAACCUCUUUGGACUCAGUGCCUACCCAUCUCCUGGCGGCCUUGGUCGGCCCACAGCUUCCUCAAGCCAAGCUCCCCAGGCCCAGGUCAGGCCUCACGGUGGCCUCUCCAGGAUGAGCUCCUGCCCUCCGAUGGCAUCUCCAGGCCCCAAAUGGUCUCCGGUCGGUGGGCUCCUCCACGCCAAGGUUGGGCCUCCCGGCGACCGCCGCAGGCCCAAGUUGUCCUGAAGUCGGGCUCUCCCGGCCCUGCCUCCCAGCAAGUAAGCAAGCUCUUUUGGCUCAACUCCUGCCCAGCUCCUGAAGAGCUUGGUUGCAGAAACUUUGGGGUCUACAAACGCAGGCGGGAGCUGAGCCAAAAGAGCUUGUUUGCUGGGAGGUGGGAGAUGCAGCCAGGAGGAACAGCUGGGCAAUGCGGGAGGCAGAGGCCAGGCCUCCUUAAGUUGGCCUCUCAGACCCACUUGCAGCCUCCCGGCGCCCCCUCCGGGCCCAGCUCUUCCUCCCGGCUGCAUCUCCAGGCCGGACUCUGGCCCGACUCCAGGUCCCAACAACGUCUUUGGACUCAGCUCCUGCCCAGCUCCCAGCGGCCCUGGUAGGCCCACAACUUCCCUAAGCCAAGCUCCCCAGGCCCAGCUCAGGCCUCGCGGUGGCCUCUCCAGGCUCAGCUCCUGGCCCUCCGAUGACAUCUGCAGGCCCCAAAUGGCCUCCGGUCGGUGGGCUCCUCUAGGCCCAGCUUGGGCCUCCCGGCGGCCUCCGCAGGCCCAAAUCGUCCCGAAGUCAGUCUCUCCAGGCUUAGCUCCAGCCUCCCGGCGGCCUCUGCAGGCCCAAGUCGUCCUCAAGUCGGCCUGGAAGUGGGCCUGGAAGAGCAGCAAGUCGGCCUCCCUGGGCCCAGCUCCGUCCUCUCGACGGCCUCUCCAGGUGCAAAACUUCCUCGAGUCAGCCUCUCCAGGCCCAGCUCCUCCUGCCUCCCAGUGGCCUCUUUCGGCCCAGCCCAGCUCAUGGCUCUCGGCGGCCUUCCCAGGCCCCGCUUUUGACUUUUGGCAGCCUCUUCAGGCGCAGAACUUGA
rnacentral:lncRNA from 1 species